AGAGUUUGAUCAUGGCUCAGAUUGAACGCUGGCGGCAGGCCUAACACAUGCAAGUCGAACGGUAACAGGAAGAAGCUUGCUUCUUUGCUGACGAGUGGCGGACGGGUGAGUAAUGUCUGGGAAACUGCCUGAUGGAGGGGGAUAACUACUGGAAACGGUAGCUAAUACCGCAUAACGUCGCAAGACCAAAGAGGGGGACCUUCGGGCCUCUUGCCAUCGGAUGUGCCCAGAUGGGAUUGGCUAGUAGGUGGGGUAACGGCUCACCUAGGCGACGAUCCCUAGCUGGUCUGAGAGGAUGACCAGCCACACUGGAACUGAGACACGGUCCAGACUCCUACGGGAGGCAGCAGUGGGGAAUAUUGCACAAUGGGCGCAAGCCUGAUGCAGCCAUGCCGCGUGUAUGAAGAAGGCCUUCGGGUUGUAAAGUACUUUCAGCGGGGAGGAAGGGAGUAAAGUUAAUACCUUUGCUCAUUGACGUUACCCGCAGAAGAAGCACCGGCUAACUCCGUGCCAGCAGCCGCGGUAAUACGGAGGGUGCAAGCGUUAAUCGGAAUUACUGGGCGUAAAGCGCACGCAGGCGGUUUGUUAAGUCAGAUGUGAAAUCCCCGGGCUCAACCUGGGAACUGCAUCUGAUACUGGCAAGCUUGAGUCUCGUAGAGGGGGGUAGAAUUCCAGGUGUAGCGGUGAAAUGCGUAGAGAUCUGGAGGAAUACCGGUGGCGAAGGCGGCCCCCUGGACGAAGACUGACGCUCAGGUGCGAAAGCGUGGGGAGCAAACAGGAUUAGAUACCCUGGUAGUCCACGCCGUAAACGAUGUCGACUUGGAGGUUGUGCCCUUGAGGCGUGGCUUCCGGAGCUAACGCGUUAAGUCGACCGCCUGGGGAGUACGGCCGCAAGGUUAAAACUCAAAUGAAUUGACGGGGGCCCGCACAAGCGGUGGAGCAUGUGGUUUAAUUCGAUGCAACGCGAAGAACCUUACCUGGUCUUGACAUCCACGGAAGUUUUCAGAGAUGAGAAUGUGCCUUCGGGAACCGUGAGACAGGUGCUGCAUGGCUGUCGUCAGCUCGUGUUGUGAAAUGUUGGGUUAAGUCCCGCAACGAGCGCAACCCUUAUCCUUUGUUGCCAGCGGUCCGGCCGGGAACUCAAAGGAGACUGCCAGUGAUAAACUGGAGGAAGGUGGGGAUGACGUCAAGUCAUCAUGGCCCUUACGACCAGGGCUACACACGUGCUACAAUGGCGCAUACAAAGAGAAGCGACCUCGCGAGAGCAAGCGGACCUCAUAAAGUGCGUCGUAGUCCGGAUUGGAGUCUGCAACUCGACUCCAUGAAGUCGGAAUCGCUAGUAAUCGUGGAUCAGAAUGCCACGGUGAAUACGUUCCCGGGCCUUGUACACACCGCCCGUCACACCAUGGGAGUGGGUUGCAAAAGAAGUAGGUAGCUUAACCUUCGGGAGGGCGCUUACCACUUUGUGAUUCAUGACUGGGGUGAAGUCGUAACAAGGUAACCGUAGGGGAACCUGCGGUUG
rnacentral:rRNA from 1 species